rnacentral:rRNA from 1 species
AUGGCGGCGGGGAUGAGGAGGAGGGCCAACAAGGGAGGUUACCUGGCGGCGCCGUCGGGGUGUUCCUCGGCGUCGCCUCCUCUAGGCGUGCGGGGUGGGGAUGGCUGCUUCGAACAAACAUUACAACGUGUCUAUAAUAGAUGCGUCGAGGAUGAGUAUGAUGAUUUUGGUGAUGCUCCCAGAAGGAAGAGCAAAGAUACAGGUGAGGAGGGGAAGAGCACCCAUAGGCACAUCUUAACCCAGAAAGAGCAUUGUUUGUACUGUUUCGAGAACCCAUCCAUGCCAAAGCAUUUGGUUGUAGCUGUAGGAAACUUUGCUUACCUGAUGCUGCCUCAGUUUGAGCCUGUUGUUCCAGGGCACUGUCUUAUUCUACCGUUGCAGCACGAGUCUGCAACUAGAGCAACUGACAGCGGAGGAGAUUCGCAACUUCAAAAAGUGCCUCCUGUCAGUUGCUCCUUUUGUGGUUGGAAGAUGCAACUAGAGCAACUCGACUAG